GUACUCUUUACUUAUUAAGUCCCAUAAGGUAAUAUAUUUAAACAUUAUGUGUGUUUUCAUAAAUUGGUAAAUGGAAAAAUGUUUAAUAUUGCUUUGUGUCUGUGUCUUUGCUAAAACAAGGUUACUAAGAGUUAAGAUUCUAUCAUGUGUAAUUUAUAUACAAAGAGUAGAAAAAUUUUCAGUUGGGUUUCAAUUAUAGUAUUAUAGUAUUAUAAAAAACAUGAAAGUCUUUCAUCUUAUUAAAGUGGAGUAAUUUGUCUAAAUCAGAAAUUUUAUAAGAGUUGUUUCAAAAUGUGAAUUUAUAAAAAGGGUUAACGGUUAAAAAAGAUAGAAAAAGAUUCAAGAUGUGGAAAUAUAUUUUAAUAUAAAAGGUUAAAGGAAAAAGAAAUGUUUCUAGAUGAGAUAAUCUCUGUGUGGUAAAGUAAAAAGUUGUAAAUGCCAUUUAAAAAGAUUUUGAGGAAACUAGACUUUAAAAGCUUGAGAAAGGAAGAAAGAAGAAAAAGAUAUUUGUACAUGGCAGAUUGAGACAAAGCUUCUCAAUGGAGUUAAAAAAAAAGGCCUUUGGUUGAAGGGCAGCCAUGUAAACUAACAUUAAAG
rnacentral:lncRNA from 1 species